GGGGAUGUGGCUCAGUGGUACAGCGCUUGCCUUAGCAAGUGUGAGGCACUGGGUUCAAUUCUCUGCAUCACAU
rnacentral:tRNA from 1 species